rnacentral:rRNA from 1 species
UACGGAGGGCGCAAGCGGUGUUCGGAAUCAUUGGGCGUAAAGCGCGUGUAGGCGGUCGCGUAAGUCGGGUGUGAAAUCCCGGGGCUCAACCCCGGAACUGCAUUCGAAACUGCGUGGCUAGAGUCCCGGAGAGGGUGGUGGAAUUCCCAGUGUAGAGGUGAAAUUCGUAGAUAUUGGGAAGAACACCGGAGGCGAAGGCGGCCACCUGGACGGUGACUGACGCUGAGACGCGAAAGCGUGGGGAGCAAACAGG